AACCGGAUUAGAUACCCUGGUAGUCCACGCCCUAAACGAUGCGAACUGGAUGUUGGCCUCAACUCGGAGAUCAGUGUCGAAGCUAACGCGUUAAGUUCGCCGCCUGGGGAGUACGGUCGCAAGACUGAAACUCAAAGGAAUUGACGGGGGCCCGCACAAGCGGUGGAGUAUGUGGUUUAAUUCGAUGCAACGCGAAGAACCUUACCUGGCCUUGACAUGUCUGGAAUCCUGCAGAGAUGCGGGAGUGCCUUCGGGAAUCAGAACACAGGUGCUGCAUGGCUGUCGUCAGCUCGUGUCGUGGGAUGUUGGGUUAAGUCCCGCAACGAGCGCAACCCUUGUCCUUAGUUGCCAGCGAGUAAUGUCGGGAACUCUAAGGAGACUGCCGGUGACAAACCGGAGGAAGGUGGGGAUGACGUCAAGUCAUCAUGGCCCUUACGGCCAGGGCUACACACGUACUACAAUGGUCGGUACAGAGGGUUGCGAUACCGCGAGGUGGAGCCAAUCCCAGAAAGCCGAUCCCAGUCCGGAUCGAAGUCUGCAACUCGACUUCGUGAAGUCGGAAUCGCUAGUAAUCGCGGAUCAGCUAUGCCGCGGUGAAUACGUUCCCGGGCCUUGUACACACCGCCCGUCACACCAUGGGAGUGAGUUGCUCCAGAAGCCGUUAGUCUAACCGCAAGGGGGACGACGACCACGGAGUGGUUCAUGACUGGGGUGAAGUCGUAACAAGGUAGCCGUA
rnacentral:rRNA from 1 species